GGUUGGGGGUUCAGUGGUAGAGUGCUUGUCUAGCAUGCACUAAGCCCUGAGUUCAAUCCCCAGCACCAAUCA
rnacentral:tRNA from 1 species